CUGGGACUUCUGUGGUGGCUUGUUAGGAUAAGCCCGUACCUUAUCCACUAGAUCCUUCUCCGGGACUUCUAUGGUGUCUUGCUGGGCCCCAUAGCGGUUCCUCUGGUACAUCACCUGCUCUGCAACCAGCUGCUUCAGGAUGAACAGCAGCAGCUCGUUGUUG